rnacentral:rRNA from 1 species
UACGUAGGGUGCGAGCGUUAAUCGGAAUUACUGGGCGUAAAGCGUGCGCAGGCGGUUUUGUAAGCCAGAUGUGAAAGCCCCGGGCUCAACCUGGGAAUGGCAUUUGGGACUGCAAGGCUUGAGUGCGGCAGAGGAGACUGGAAUUCUGGUGUAGCAGUGAAAUGCGUAGAUAUCAGGAGGAAUACCGAUGGCGAAGGCAGGUCUCUGGGCUGACACUGACGCUCAUGCACGAAAGCGUGGGAGC